rnacentral:rRNA from 1 species
UACGUAGGGGGCGAGCGUUAUCCGGAUUUACUGGGUGUAAAGGGAGCGUAGACGGUUCUGCAAGUCUGAAGUGAAAGCCCGUGGCUUAACCGCGGAACGGCUUUGGAAACUGUGGAACUGGAGUGCUGGAGAGGCAAGCGGAAUUCCUAGUGUAGCGGUGAAAUGCGUAGAUAUUAGGAGGAACACCAGUGGCGAAGGCGGCUUGCUGGACAGUAACUGACGUUGAGGCUCGAAAGCGUGGGGAGCAAACAGG